rnacentral:rRNA from 1 species
UACGUAGGGUGCGAGCGUUAAUCGGAAUUACUGGGCGUAGAGCGUGCGCAGGCGGUUCGUUGUGUCGGUGGUGAAAGCCCCGGGCUUAACCUGGGAAUGGCCAUGGAAACUGGCGAACUGGAGUGUGGCAGAGGGGGGUGGAAUUCCGCGUGUAGCAGUGAAAUGCGUAGAGAUGCGGAGGAACACCGAUGGCGAAGGCAGCCCCCUGGGCUAGCACUGACGCUCAGGCACGAAAGCGUGGGGAGCAAACAGG